rnacentral:rRNA from 1 species
GUGCAGCAGUCGCGAAUAGUCUACAAUGGACGAAAGUCUGAUAGUGCGACACCGGUGUGUGCGAUUAACUUCCUUCGGGAUGUAAAGCACUUUUCUAUGAGAUAAAAGCUCUUUAGGUUAAUAGCUUAUUGAGACGGAUAUUAUUAUAGGAAUAAGCUCCGGCUAACUCCGUGCCGAGCAGCCGCGGUAAUACGGAAGGAGCG